rnacentral:rRNA from 1 species
CCUACGGGAGGCAGCAGUGGGGAAUAUUGCGCAAUGGGCGAAAGCCUGACGCAGCCAUGCCGCGUGUGUGAAGAAGGCCUUCGGGUUGUAAAGCACUUUCAGAGGGGAGGAAACGGUGCUGGCUAAUAUCCAGCGCACUUGACGCUACCCUCAGAAGAAGCACCGGCUAAUUCCGUGCCAGCAGCCGCGGUAAU